GGAUCCUCGCCUCCGCGCCCUAGAUCCGGCCCCUCCGUCGGAUUCCGUCGUCCUAGUCCCGUUCGCCUCCACGCCGUCUCCGCCGCAUCUGCCUCGCCGGAGUUCCUCCGCCUCGCCUGUUGCCGACCUCUGCUUCCUCUGUAUCGACCCGUUACAGACGCAGAGGAGGACGAGCGUUGACCUCGCCCGCUCGAGCCCUGCUUUCAACCACGCCUGGGCCAGCAGCCUAAGGCCCAGCCGCAAGCCCUGUGCCCCAGCUGCCCCCUCCACCGACUGGGCCGAGGCCCAUGUUCCGGUUAUGUUGCGAUUGUGAGGACCCGUUCGACUACAUUGGUUCGUCCACUUCAUGGCCUCGUUCUUCUUCCUAGCGGGAUUUCAGUUGCAGGUGCCGAUGAUACCAGUGCAGGUGACGCAACCAAGCUCAAGUGGGAUUUCGACGAGGACCUUGGUC